UACGGAGGGUGCAAGCGUUAUCCGGAUUCACUGGGUUUAAAGGGUGCGUAGGUGGGUCUGUAAGUCAGUGGUGAAAUCUCCGUGCUUAACAUGGAACUGCCAUUGAUACUAUAGGUCUUGAAUUUUCUGGAGGUCAGCGGAAUAUGUCAUGUAGCGGUGAAAUGCUUAGAUAUGACAUAGAACACCAAUUGCGAAGGCAGCUGGCUACAGGGAUAUUGACACUGAGGCACGAAAGCGUGGGGAUCAAACAGG
rnacentral:rRNA from 1 species